rnacentral:rRNA from 1 species
UGGGGAAUAUUGGACAAUGGGCGGAAGCCCGAUCCAGCAACGCCGCGUGAGGGAUGACGGCCUUCGGGUUGUAAACCUCUUUCGGUAGGGACGAAGCGCAAGUGACGGUACCUACUAAAGAAGCACCGGCCAACUACGUG